rnacentral:lncRNA from 1 species
UCCAUGAAUAGAUGUACUUGCAGAGGAAGCAACUACAUCGAUUUUAUUCUCCUCUACAAUGUAUACUAGAAUUCCCACAUUUGGGUAUUUUUGCACUUAGAGGCUCCCACUUGUUAAAAUAUAAAAUCAGCCCCACUGUCCACUGAUUGUAGAUAAAUAGGUACUUUGGGACGGCUAAUUUCUUAGAAACCAUUUGAAAAUACUCCCACAGCUCUACUACUCUCUUCUCCUUUCCUCCUUACUGGUCUUAUUGUGUAUCUCUUUCUCUUCAUUUUGAUAGAGAAAGAGACUAUAAACCAUGGUUAUUUUCUGACCAUCCAUCAUAUCUGAUUUCUGAUAUCUUUUUUCUUCUUCUCUUCUAUAAUUUUACUUUCAUUUGUUUACAUACAAAAACUAAAAUACUCUAAUUCUUCUUCUUUUUCUUUGUACCUUCAAUUUUCUUCCCUCNNNNNNNNNNNNNNNNNNNNNNNNNNNNNNNNNNNNNNNNNNNNNNNNNNNNNNNNNNNNNNNNNNNNNNNNNNNNNNNNNNNNNNNNNNNNNNNNNNNNUCUUCAGCUCUUUAAUUCUCUGUUUUUUGUUUUGAAAUAAGUCUAUAGAUAAUCUGUUUCUUUAACUAUUUCUUCACGGAUUCACCCAGAAUCACUCUUCUUUUUAAUAGAUAUUGAUCCAGCUUCUUCUUUUCUUGAUAUUGAUCAAUUGAUGGCAACCAUUUCCUCCACUCCCUUGAACAAUAAUAAAAAAAGCUUUCCUCCAAAGAGGGGCCAAAUCAAAGCUCAAAUAUUUGAGAGCUUGGCUGCGACCGUAUCCUCAAUGGCCUCAAAAGCAGGGGAAGCACUCGGCAGAAUCAGAGAAGGCGGCGGCACCUCUGCGCCUGCAAGCCCAGCGCCGAGCUCUUACAACUUCUAUGGCUAAUUAUCAUUAUCACUAUCACUAUCAGAUGGAGAUUGUGCUAUCUCAAUUUAGUGUAUCAGAUUCCUCUUUAGGCCGUUUUCCACUGUAUGAUAUAAUAAAGGGUAAGGGUGUGUGUGGUAUAAACAGAUGCUGUCUGUUAUAAUCUGUUGUUUUAGAAUCAAAAUAAAAGUCUUCCUUUGUGUUGUUAAUUGGGUAGAUUUUAUGCAGGAAUUGAAGGGGAUUUCUUAGUGAUUAGUUGUUGAUAUUCCUGUAUUUGCUAGGUGUUUUAAAUCAGCAGUGUGGUAUCUUACUUUUAGCUACUUCUUGAGUAGAUGAUACUCUUGUAGGAAGUGUUGUAUGGUGGUGGUGUUUGAUUUUCAGUUGUCUUCCAUUUAGUGCAUAUGGCUUUGUGUAUAGUAUAAUAUUAUCUAUUGUGUUAAUGAAGUUGAUUUUGUUUUUGUGACAAGUAUUGUUUAAAUCUGAUGAAUUUGAUGUUUGGUUUGGAAUUGGGAUUGAUAUAUCUGGUGGGCUGCUACUUUUAGUUGGCUUGGUUUUAAUCUUGAAAUUUAUUCAUUGAUGAGAUUAUAUGUAAUUGGUGAGUUUUAUAAUCUCACAUAUUUUGGGGGAAGCUUGAGGGAUCAUAAACUUUUUGAUUACACAAAAUUCUCACAUGGUUGAAAGAGAGAUUGGAUAAAACAUGACAAGAAGUGGGCAAAAAGAGAGUUUGGGUCCUAUUAAGGUCAAGAUCUUCUCCAACGUCCCAAUCACGUAAGACGUCCUGAUCCUGCACAGUAAACACGAUAAACACCACAAACUUGACGGCUGGACCGCCGGGGGAUAACUCAGACGUGAGAGUUAGUAUACGUGUUCACAAGGCUAACAAUGGAGGAUGUAAUGUCUAGUGUAUUGAGAGUGAUGAUAAUUCUCAGUUGUGUGUAUGUGAAUAUGAAUGUGUAUGUACCUGUUUGUGAAGACUUAGUUGAUAGGUUGUACUCUCUUUGCCCGGUUUACCGUGCCACCCACUACCUCUGACACCCCCCCUGAUAUGAUGGAUUAUGCCGACUGAGUGCUGUAUACCCACUACUUUUGGGUACUGUUUAUGCCGUCGGCCGACUAUAAUCCCAUCCACAUUAAUGCAUGGCAGGUGUCUUAGUCAACUGUCAUGCUUUUUCAUCAUUACAAG